AGGAAAUGGAAGAGGAUUAAGAGGUUUAGAAGAGGAUUAAGAGGAAAUGGAAGAGGAUUAAGAGGUUUAGAAGAGGAUUAAGAGGAAAUGGAAGAGGAUUAAGAGGUUUAGAAGAGGAUUAAGAGGAAAUGGAAGAGGAUUAAGAGGUUUAGAAGAGGAUUAAGAGGAAAUGGAAGAGGAUUAAGAGGUUUAGAAGAGGAUUAAGAGGAAAUGGAAGAGGAUUAAGAGGUUUAGAAGAGGAUUAAGAGGAAAUGGAAGAGGAUUAAGAGGUUUAGAAGAGGAUUAAGAGGAAAUGGAAGAGGAUUAAGAGGUUUAGAAGAGGAUUAAGAGGAAAUGGAAGAGGAUUAAGAGGUUUAGAAGAGGAUUAAGAGGAAAUGGAAGAGGAUUAAGAGGUUUAGAAGAGGAUUAAGAGGAAAUGGAAGAGGAUUAAGAGGUUUAGAAGAGGAUUAAGAGGAAAUGGAAGAGGAUUAAGAUGUUUAGAAGAGGAUUAAGAGGAAAUGGAAGAGGAUUAAGAGGU